GGGCGUGUGGCUCAGUGGUAGAGCGCCCGCUUUGCAUACCGUGCUUGCGGGAGGUCCAGGUUUCGAUCACCUGCCCGUCCA